rnacentral:rRNA from 1 species
UACAGAGGGUGCGAGCGUUGUCCGGAAUCACUGGGCGUGAAGGGCGCGUAGGUGGCGCAACAAGUCAGUGGUGAAAGCUCGACGCUCAACGUCGAGUCGGCCACUGAGACUGUUGGGCUUGAGCACUGUAGAGGCUAAUGGAAUUCCGGGUGUAGCGGUGGAAUGCGUAGAGAUCCGGAAGAACACCGGUGGCGAAGGCGGUUAGCUGGGCAGUUGCUGACACUGAGGCGCGAAAGCGUGGGGAGCAAACAGG